GAAUCUUGCGCAAUGGCCGAAAGGCUGACGCAGCGACGCCGCGUGCGGGAGGAAGCUCUUCGGGGUGUAAACCGCUGUCAGGAGGGACGAAGGUCCGGGGGAGGAAAUGCCUUCGGGCUGACGGUACCUCCAGCGGAAGCGCCGGCUAACCCCGUGCAAGCAGCCGCGGGAAUACGGAGGGCGCGAGCGUUGUUCGGAAUUAUUGGGCGUAAAGCGCACGUAGGCGGCUCGGUAAGUCUCACUGUGAAAGCCCGGGGCUCAACCCCGGGAGGCCAGGGGAUACUGUCGAGCUGGAGACAGGCAGAGGCUGGUGGAAUUCCGGGUGUAGCGGUGGAAUGCGUAGAGAUCCGGAGGAACACCUGAGGCGAAGGCGGCCAGCUGGGCCUGAUCUGACGCUGAGGUGCGAAAGCGUGGGGAGCGAACAGG
rnacentral:rRNA from 1 species